UUUGUACUCCCUCCGUCCGAAAAUACUUGUCAUUGAAAUUGAUGUAUGUAGAUGUAUUUUAGUUCUAGACACAUCCAUUUUGAUGACAAGUAAUUUUGGACGGAGGGAAUACUUG
rfam:Triticum aestivum genome assembly, contig: Triticum_aestivum_CS42_TGACv1_scaffold_327844_4BS